GGAGUGCUGUGCGGCCAGAGAUCCACGUUACCAGUUGGGAAAUCUCAUUUUUCUUCUUCACGGGUAUUGACUUGAUGCAAUCUACUCAUCACUGGAAGGCAUCUUUUUAACUGGAGAACGCAUUAUAUGAAAAUGGUGAAAUGGAGCUACAUGGAGUGAUCUGGAGGGAGCUGUGUUCUCUGGCUGGCUGGGGCAACAGAGCUGGUGAUGAGGAGAUGUGCAGAGAGAGCGAACCUCUUACUUGGCAAGGACAUUUUUACUUGUAGUGCCAGUAUUGUUGCAAAGCUGUACACGUGCCUAAUAUUUUGCAUGGUGAGUGACUCAUCAGGGUAUCAUUUCCAGACAGGU